AGCUGGUGCCAGCAGCCGCGGUAAUUCCAGCUCCAAUAGCGUAUAUUAAAGUUGUUGCAGUUAAAAAGCUCGUAGUUGAAUUUCGGGAUCAAUAUGUUGGUCGUGCCUUGGUACGUACUGGCGUCAUUGGUUUCUACCUUCUGAAGAACCUCGAUGUUAUUAAUUUGGUGUCUUGGGGAAUCAGGACUGUUACUUUGAAAAAAUUAGAGUGUUUAAAGCAANGCUAACGCUUGAAUACAUUAGCAUGGAAUAAUGAAAUAGGACGUUCGAUCCUAUUUUGUUGGUUUCUAGGAUUGACGUAAUGAUUAAUAGGGAUAGUUGGGGGCAUUAGUAUUCAAUUGUCAGAGGUGAAAUUCUUGGAUUUAUUGAAGACUAACUACUGCGAAAGCAUUUGCCAAGGAUGUUUUCAUUAAUCAAGAGCGAAAGUUAGGGGAUCGAAGACGAUCAGAUACCGUCGUAGUCUUAACCAUAAACUAUGCCGACUAGGGAUCGGAUGAUGUUAAUUUUUAAUGACUCA
rnacentral:rRNA from 2 species